GUCGAGCGGGGGAAGGUAGCUUGCUACUGGACCUAGCGGCGGACGGGUGAGUAAUGCUUAGGAAUCUGCCUAUUAGUGGGGGACAACAUCUCGAAAGGGAUGCUAAUACCGCAUACGUCCUACGGGAGAAAGCAGGGGAUCUUCGGACCUUGCGCUAAUAGAUGAGCCUAAGUCGGAUUAGCUAGUUGGUGGGGUAAAGGCCUACCAAGGCGACGAUCUGUAGCGGGUCUGAGAGGAUGAUCCGCCACACUGGGACUGAGACACGGCCCAGACUCCUACGGGAGGCAGCAGUGGGGAAUAUUGGACAAUGGGGGGAACCCUGAUCCAGCCAUGCCGCGUGUGUGAAGAAGGCCUUAUGGUUGUAAAGCACUUUAAGCGAGGAGGAGGCUACUUUAGUUAAUACCUAGAGAUAGUGGACGUUACUCGCAGAAUAAGCACCGGCUAACUCUGUGCCAGCAGCCGCGGUAAUACAGAGGGUGCGAGCGUUAAUCGGAUUUACUGGGCGUAAAGCGUGCGUAGGCGGCUUAUUAAGUCGGAUGUGAAAUCCCCGAGCUUAACUUGGGAAUUGCAUUCGAUACUGGUGAGCUAGAGUAUGGGAGAGGAUGGUAGAAUUCCAGGUGUAGCGGUGAAAUGCGUAGAGAUCUGGAGGAAUACCGAUGGCGAAGGCAGCCAUCUGGCCUAAUACUGACGCUGAGGUACGAAAGCAUGGGGAGCAAACAGGAUUAGAUACCCUGGUAGUCCAUGCCGUAAACGAUGUCUACUAGCCGUUGGGGCCUUUGAGGCUUUAGUGGCGCAGCUAACGCGAUAAGUAGACCGCCUGGGGAGUACGGUCGCAAGACUAAAACUCAAAUGAAUUGACGGGGGCCCGCACAAGCGGUGGAGCAUGUGGUUUAAUUCGAUGCAACGCGAAGAACCUUACCUGGCCUUGACAUACUAGAAACUUUCCAGAGAUGGAUUGGUGCCUUCGGGAAUCUAGAUACAGGUGCUGCAUGGCUGUCGUCAGCUCGUGUCGUGAGAUGUUGGGUUAAGUCCCGCAACGAGCGCAACCCUUUUCCUUACUUGCCAGCAUUUCGGAUGGGAACUUUAAGGAUACUGCCAGUGACAAACUGGAGGAAGGCGGGGACGACGUCAAGUCAUCAUGGCCCUUACGGCCAGGGCUACACACGUGCUACAAUGGUCGGUACAAAGGGUUGCUACACAGCGAUGUGAUGCUAAUCUCAAAAAGCCGAUCGUAGUCCGGAUUGGAGUCUGCAACUCGACUCCAUGAAGUCGGAAUCGC
rnacentral:rRNA from 1 species